CAUGGACACACACACACACACACACACACACACCCCUACCUUUCCAGACACACACACGCACGCACACACCCCUACCUUUCCAGAAGUUUUCUUGUUUUCCUUUCACAGUUAAAUCUGUAGUCUACCUGGAAUUGAGUUUUGGAUAUGGUAUAAUGUUGAGUGGUUUUCCAUAUGGAUAACUAGAUGUCUUUUUCCUGCUCAUUCAGCGCCACCUUUUAUGUAAAUCAAAUAUCCACAUUUGUGUGUACCAGUUUUAAUUUUCAUGUUUUUGAUGAAUAAUGAUAUUGAACACUUUUCCUUAUGCUUAUUGGCCAUUGCUUUCUGUUUUUUCUUUAAUGAAGUAUCUGUUUUAAGUUUUGUGGGUGUGCGUGUUGUAAACUCCUGUUGUUUAUUAUCGUAACUGCCCAGUGGAUUCUCCCUGCCCACUGUACAGACAAAACCAAUUCACUGAGACUAUGGCAUUGUAAUAAAGAGUUUAAUUGACACAAGGCUGGCCAUGCCAUAUGGAGAUGGAUUUAUUACUGAAAUUAAUCUCUCCCAAAAUUUGGAGGUUAGGAUUUUUUAAGGAUAGUUUGGUGGGCCAGGGAGUCUGGGUUUUGGGUGGAGCCACAGGGCUGGUCAGCAGGGGUGCGGGUCUGUGGGUCCUCGUGGCCACUGAUGAAUCAUCAGAAAUGCUAAAAACCCGAAAAGAUGUCUCAAAAGGCCAAUCUCAGAUUCUACAAUAGCACUGUUACCUGUAGGAGUAAUUGAGGGUGUUGCAAAUCUUGUGACUUUUGAAAUAAGUAAUGAUAAUCAUUUAUGUCUACAUCUUAGCAGAAUUCAGGCUCCUUGUCCUUGUAACCUGGUGGUCUUUCUUUCAUUAGCUUUUCAAAGGCAGUUCAGUUUUGGGGAAGGGCUAUUAUCAUUUAAACUAUAAAUGUUGCCGGGUGCGGUGGCUCACGCCUGUAAUCCCAGC